CGCUCCCUGGGUUGUGCGCCAGUUGGUCACGUCCCUCUCCCGAUACGCAAAACCUGGAGGCUGUACGUGUGACCCGUGUGCAUGUCCGCCCGACGGAAAGCCUUACGGUCACCUACAGUCGCCACCUUGAACUUUCGGGUUCAAGGGUCAAGCCGACAGCGGCACUCCGGGGGGUCU
rnacentral:other from 1 species